UGAGGAAUAUUUGGCAAUAGAUGAAAGUCUGACCAAGCAAUACUACGUGAAGGAUGAAGGCUUUUGGGUUGUAAACUUCUUUUGUUGAUGAAGAAUUUUUAGUGACAUUAGUCAAAGAAUAAGUGCCGGCUAAUUUUGUGCCAGCAGCCGCGGUAAUACAAGAGGCACAAGCGUUGUUCGGUAUUAUUGGGCGUAAAGCGUACUUAGGCGGUUUUUUUGAGUUUAAUGUUAAAUUCUAAAGCUUAACUUUAGUUCAGCAUUGAAAAACUACUAAACUGGAGUUCAGUAGAGGUAAGGGGAAUUUUAUGUGUAGCGAUGAAAUGCGUAGAUAUAUUAAAAGAACACCAAUAGGCGAAGGCACCUUACUAGGCUGAUACUGACGCUGAAAGACGAGAGCUAGGGUAGCCAAUC
rnacentral:rRNA from 1 species